GGGAACGGUUUACCAUGCUGAUCUCUGCUUUCCAUUAAAACACAGACAUUAAGCAGCACUGAGUUUAGUCAGUACUUGGAUGGAUGGCCCUCUGGGAAUGACAGAUGGGCUUUCUCU
rnacentral:rRNA from 1 species